GCCUGGGUGGCUCAGUCGGUUAAGCAUCUGACUUAGGCUCAGGUCAUGAUCUCACAUUUUGUGGGUUCGAGCCCCGCGUCGGGCU
rnacentral:tRNA from 1 species